AAAGCAGGUUGCAAUUACAGUGCUUUCUCUUAAUGGAAGUGCUGUCAUUAUCCUGCUGAUAGUAAAGAUGUCAGCUUGUCUGUUUUCGGCUUCAUGUGUAUGGAAACAUUCAGCAUUGACAACUACAGUU